rnacentral:tRNA from 1 species
GGAGGUAUAGCUCAGUGGUAGAGUGCAUGCUCAGUGUGCACAAGGGUUCAAUUCCCAGUGCCUCUC